GAUGAAGAGGCUAUAUUAGACAAGAUUAAGAGUUUUGAGUUGAAAAGAUCUAACCCAUGGGAAGCAUCCACAAGAUAAUAAUGUCAGAUAGAAACUCAUCUCCUUUGGAUUGUCAAGCAAACAACAAAACCAUAAUCAUCCAAGCAAUUAAUAAGAAACCCAAUGGUAUCCAAUAAAGAUAACCAAUCAUCUAAGUUAAAACUUCAAAGCAAGCAAUCUUCAAUGUCCUUUAUGUGUAUCAGAUGAAAAAUC
rnacentral:lncRNA from 1 species